AGAAUCUUCCGCAAUGCGCGCAAGCGUGACGGAGCGACGCCGCGUGGGUGAUGAAGGCCUUCGGGUUGUAAAUCCCUGUCAGUUGCUAGGAAACACAGGCGGUGAAUAACUGUCCUGUCUGACCAUGCAGCAGAGGAAGCACCGGCUAAAUACGUGCCAGCAGCCGCGGUAAUACGUAUGGUGCAAACGUUGUUCGGAAUCACUGGGCCUAAAGAGCGCGUAGGCGGUCUGGUAAGUCGGAUGUGAAAUCCCCCGGCCUACCGGGGAACUGCGUCUGAUACUGCUGGGCUAGAGUGCAGGAGGGGAGAGUGGAAUUCCUGGUGGAGCGGUGAAAUGCGUAGAUAUCAGGAGGAACGCCGGUGGCGAAAGCGGCUCUCUGGACUGUUACUGACGCUGAGGCGCGAAAGCUAGGGGAGCAAAC
rnacentral:rRNA from 1 species